rnacentral:lncRNA from 1 species
CUCCCCUCCUGAGGUCCAUUCUGUCUCUGGGCACUAUCAUUAUCACAAUUUUCCAGAUGAGGAAACUGAAGCAGAGAUGUUCAGUAACUUGCCCAAGGUCACAUGGUUAAGUCACGUAACCUUAGUUUCCUCAUCUGCAAAGCAGCCUCCAGGAACGACCUCAUAGUAUUUUGUCUUACGACAAUGCCUGUCACAUAAUACUUGCUAUUAUCACAAUUAUUUGCCCCUACCGAGACUCCUUCUGCUCCACCAGUUUCGCGGCAGAAUAUUAGUAUCUAACAUUUGGUGAAUGUUUCUUGUGUACUACCUUAGUGAACAUGAACUCAGAAAAUCCUCACAUUUAUCAUCAUCACCACUCCCAUUUUGGCCGCCACCAGCCUUGUCCAGAUUCCAACGCUCUCCAGGCACUACCACCAGCCCGCCCGGGCUACGUCAUUACGGCGCGUCGCGCGGGAAGCCACGGGGAGGUGAGAAAGCGCCCCUUCCUAACGCCCUUGUUUGCUUGCUUCCACUCUUGAGUCAUCGCACGGUAGGGGGGCGCGGGUCUGGAGGGGCCCUAAGGACCGCGUCAGGGGUGAAGUCUCCCCAGCCAUGACCUCCACCGGUCAGGAUUCCACCACACCCAAGGAGCGAAGGAGUAGGCACAAUCCCCACUCCCCCACCCAUGACUCCAGCAUCACCUCGAAGCGAGGUAUUAAAAAGGGUGCCAUGCUCCGCUCCAGCCCCAGUCUAGCGGAGGUAAAGAAGAAAGGCAGAAUGAAGAAGCUUAGGCCAAACAGCCGAGCAAGACCUCAUCAUGGGGCUGCAAGGGCUGGUGAGAGGCUCCUGGGACAAUCAAAAGGAUUCCUUCUAGCAUAUUUUAAUUUCAGGUAUUGUGUUGUUUAUUACUGUUUGUUUUUUAGUUCUUCAGG